GACGAACGCUGGCGGCGUGCUUAACACAUGCAAGUCGAACGGAAAGGCCCUGCUUUUGUGGGUUGCUCGAGUGGCGAACGGGUGAGUAACACGUGAGUAACCUGCCCUUGACUUUGGGAUAACUUCAGGAAACUGGGGCUAAUACCGGAUAGGAGCUCCUGCUGCAUGGUGGGGGUUGGAAAGUUUCGGCGGUUGGGGAUGGACUCGCGGCUUAUCAGCUUGUUGGUGGGGUAGUGGCUUACCAAGGCUUUGACGGGUAGCCGGCCUGAGAGGGUGACCGGCCACAUUGGGACUGAGAUACGGCCCAGAAUCCUACGGGAGGCAGCAGUGGGGAAUAUUGCACAAUGGGCGGAAGCCUGAGGCAGCAACGCCGCGUGCGGGAUGACGGCCUUCGGGUUGUAAACCGCUUUCGCCUGUGACGAAGCGUGAGUGACGGUAAUGGGUAAAGAAGCACCGGCUAACUACGUG
rnacentral:rRNA from 1 species